AUGUCGGCGCCUGGUUCUCUCUUCCGCCCCCUCUCUCUCUCAUGUCGCCGCCUCCUGAGGCUGUUACCGACCACUCGCCUUCCUCCGGUCGUUGACGGUGUAUAGUGGCGGGCAGGGGUAUUUUUGUCAUUUGCUGACACCUUAGAAGGCCAUAUGACCUGUGGUCUGCUUGCCAACCACCGCUCCUGGUUGGAGCACGAUGGCAACGGUUUUGUGUGUCAAUAUCAUUCAAGUGUUUUACCUCUUUGUGGUUAAUUUUCUUAUGGGUUUUGGUUUCUUGGCUGUGAUCUAGAUGUGAGCCUACUUAAUUGAUGUGUUUUUAGCAGUUUUGUGAUCUAAUUACGGUAUUUUGCUACAGUUUUGUUGGUUGGCUGUGGCAAUCGAUGGUUUUGUCACGCAGCUAUGAUGAUCUCAAAAGUCUUUUACCAAUUGAUUUUGGCAUGGCAAUGAUGGCGGAUGGUAGGGUUUGACCUGCAACCCACCUUGCAGCCAUGAUUUCUGGUAGAUCUGAGCCACAUCGUUUUGUUGUACUUUUCGAGUCUUCUUUCUUGAAGCCAUCUUCAUCACUGUGGUAAAACCCUAACCGCCGUCACCAUCGGUUUCUGCUGAUAACACCUGAAACGGCAAACCCUGGCCACCACUUGUGGUGCGACUGUUGACUAUCGUUGUGGUGACUGAAACCCCAUUCGUCUGCAUGUGUGCUUUUUCAAUAAUUGAGGUAAAACCCAUCUACCCUACCACUGAUCUCAUCUUCUCUCACAACAUCUAUGCCUCUGUUUCUGCUCUGGAGAUGUCUGGUGGCCUAAUAGGAGAUGAACAGUUGUAUUGUCUGCUAAAAUAGAAAAAGGUUGAUUUAAGGUUUUGGAGCUGGCUGGAAAUGCAGCAAGAGACAACAAGAAAACAAAAUCAUUCCGAGACGUGUUUUUAUGGCUUCCAGGUAGUCCUUUUAUCGUUGCAUCGUAGUUAUUUUUCCAUGUGUAACCUAUAAAUUUUCACCUUUACUUUGUGUUUUUAGCAGUUAGAAUGUAGAAUAAGAAUCAAUUGGUUGUGUAAAUCGUUCACCAAGAUUUGUAAACUAUUUGUUUCUGGUUCGUUUUACAACAAGAUCUCAAUUUAAUUGCACUAAUGCAUUGAUGCAUCAUGUUCCUUGAUAAGACAACAAGGGACAAUUUAAGUACUCAUUUGAUUAUUAUUGUUUUGCAAGUCCUGUCAAGCCCUUCAAAGAUGAUUCGGGGUUUGUUUUGGCCUUGAUUAGGAUAGAAAAUAACUUAUUGCCCAUGUUAUUUUACUAUUAUAUAGUGAUUCAGAUGUGGAACCUGUUAUGUUUAAAAUGGUAUUAUUUUAUUUUUAUGUAAUGAUGCACCUGUGCAUAAUAAUCAUAAAUCAUUUUGGAUAACUUUCCAUUUGGAAUUGUCUCAUAUUCCAUAACAUAGGCAAUCCCAUCUUUAACUAGAAGUAAACUUUCCGAAUAACUCAUAAGGAACUGACAGUGGUUUCUGACCCGUAAUCAGCGACGACGUUCCUUCCUCCGCUAAGAUCCGUUGCCUAGCAGUUUCCGGUAAUAAUUUCUAGAGUUGAAAUGUUCGUAUAUGUAGAAAAUAGUUGUGAAGAGUACUUUGGAAUGGGAUUGUAUAACUUAGUUUGUUGAAAUGUUUAUAUAUGUAGAAAUUUGGCGUAGUGGGAUUGUAUAACAUGGUUUGUAUAGCUUAUAGGUAAACUAAUAAAUCCCUUAUGUACUAAUGUGCAUUUUUUUUCAGCUUGCAAAGCUAGGGUAUCAUAUCUCAAGUUCAGUUUUAAGGUUUCUUGAUGGUUAUUUUGACUAUUUUUUCAUAUAAUGAAUACAGUAUACCUUAUAUUAAAUCACAACUCCAAAGCCACGGUUUUGUUUGUUACCUAUGUGUAUUAGCCACGCCAGUUUUUACUUUUUUUUCACUUUGGCCACCUUAGGAAGCUUCUAUCUUUUUACUUGAUGAAUAAGAGAGACAACAAAGAGAAAGGCAGACCUUAAUGAGGGACUCAGACGACAUAAAAAAUGUUAGGACGAAGCUUUCCCUGGUGGUAUCGGUUGGAGUGUACAGGCAGUGGUGGUGCAGAUGCAGCUCCGAUGAAUUGUGGUGUUGAAACAAGGUCAAAACAAAACAAACAGAAGGCGAUAAUGGUGACAGAGUGACAAAGUUUUGGAAUCACAGCCGUGAACUUAGCUGGCUUGGGUUUUUAUCGGAAAUCCGGUGACCCCUUCGAGCUGUGUGUUUCAUUUCAAAGCUAGGAACUACGAGAUACAUGUAAAUCCAAUUACCUAUCUCACGCCACCUCUGGUACAACUUCAAGGUACGUGUAAAUUAAAGAAUGUUAUACAAUUGUUAUAAAUUUUCAGUCCUUUCCACACUCAUGUUUUUGUAUGAUGAGAAGAAGUUUCAUUGAUGUUUUCAUUCCACUUUUGCAAUGUGUGACUACAAAAGAUUGAAAUAAUUACUUCUACUGUCAUUAGUUGGAUGCUUACUUUGGGGUUUUCUUCAUAAAUAGGCAGUCUUUAUUUUGUUAGUUUAAUACAUUAUUGCUUUUAUUUUUAUUCAUUUGUUUUUAGUCAAUAUAUAGGUUAUUAUUAAUGAAAAGAGAACAGUUGACAUCCUUUUGGUUAACACUGAACUGUGACCAAAUUAGGCUGCCCUGCCUCUCGAUAUUCUUGACCCCCUCCACAAGGUCAAAACUAGUUCUCGAUAUUAGGUGAGUGGUCAAAACUCAUUACUUUGAGUAAAAACCAUAAGCAUUAUGUAUUUAUUCCAACUUUUAUUGAAACAGAUUGGUUAAUCAACAAAAGUAGAAAGAUUUGACUAGCUAUUUAUUCUAAUGGAUAUCGUCUAAUUGUCUUAAAUUUAGGUAACGGUCUGACGAUCUAAGAGAGUAGGAAUGAGGCUAUAUCUGAUUAUUAAUUACGAAAUUGGUGGCUCAACUUCUGACUCGCUAGGCAUUUAGCUGAUUCACUGACUCAGCUCGGAAUUGCUUCCAAACAUUACAAAUGGGAGUAGAAACAUAAGACAUAAAAAAGCGAUGGUCUUUAGUAGAUAAACAUAUUUACGGAUGUGAAACUGAAUGAAAUGGUGGAGUGGGCUUUGUAACUUAAAACUUCUGAGUAUAGUGUAAUGUUUCUUUGUUGUAAUCAUCUUCUCCAUUCCAUUGUUGAAGCUUUGUUUUCUCAAGUAAACGUUAAUGCUAUUGGUUCUCCUUUAAUUUUUGUUUUUCAACUCAAAUUUCAAGCAUAAUAAUAGCUUUUUAUUGAUGCUUCUGUUUU
rnacentral:lncRNA from 1 species